GAUAUUUGAAAAAGUCAGAGCCUGGGCACCCUUGACAAGGUGUUUCGUAGAACUUUAGCGGGGUUAGUCUACGUGUGUAGGACUUGUCACCGGCGUACGAGUGUUAAGGAUUCUGCUGUACUUGCUAGUGAGCUUAGUCCUAGUUGGACGGCUUGUUCCCUAGCCACUAGGGGUGGGCACAGUCCAGUUCUCACCUCAAACCAAAACUGAAAUCGGUACUAUUUAACCGGUCCAGUUCAAUCCAAUUUAAACCAAUUUUUUUUAAAAACUGGCCGG
rnacentral:lncRNA from 1 species